GAGGACUUAGCUUAAUUAAAGCGCUUGAUUUGCGUUCAGGAGAUGUGAAGUUAAUUUGCAGUCCUUA
rnacentral:tRNA from 1 species